UGUUAAAAAUUUCAUCAAAUUCUACUAUUAAAAAUUGGCGUGGCUGAUAGAAAAACCUGACAGUUACAUUGGUGUGCCAUGGGCACCUCAUACUGAUGUAUAGGGACCAACUUUUAACAGUAAAAAUAGAUGAAACCUUUAACA
rfam:Gossypium raimondii Chr08_contig_1301, whole genome shotgun sequence.